rnacentral:rRNA from 1 species
UAAACUAGGAUUAGAUACCCUAUUAUUAAAAUUUAAAUUGAAAAAACUAAAAAAGUAGAUAAUUAUUUAUUGAAACUUAAAUAAUUUGGCGGUAUUUUAGUUCAUUUAGAGGAAUCUGUUUAAUAAUUGAUAAUCCACGAAUAAAUUUACUUAAUUUUUUAUUUUGUAUAUCGUUGUUAAAAAAAUAUUUUUUAAUAAUAAUAAUAUUUAAAAAUUUUGAUUAAAAAUUAAAUCAGAUCAAGA